GUGGGGAAUUUUGGACAAUGGGCGCAAGCCUGAUCCAGCCAUGCCGCGUGAGUGAAGAAGGCCUUCGGGUUGUAAAGCUCUUUCGGCCGGGAAGAAAUCGGCGACUCUAACAUAGUCGCUGGAUGACGGUACCGGACUAAGAAGCACCGGCUAACUAUGUGCCAGCAGCCGCGGUAAUACGUAGGGUGCGAGCGUUAAUCGGAAUUACUGGGCGUAAAGCGUGCGCAGGCGGUUUUGUAAGACAGAUGUGAAAUCCCCGGGCUUAACCUGGGAACUGCGUUUGUGACUGCAAGGCUAGAGUACGGCAGAGGGGGGUGGAAUUCCUGGUGUAGCAGUGAAAUGCGUAGAUAUCAGGAGGAACACCGAUGGCGAAGGCAGCCCCCUGGGCCUGUACUGACGCUCAUGCACGAAAGCGUGGGGAGCAAACAGGAUUAGAAACCCUAGUAGUCC
rnacentral:rRNA from 1 species